CCGAGUCUUAACUGGGCGUUAAGUUGCAGGGUAUAGACCCGAAACCCGGUGAUCUAGCCAUGGGCAGGUUGAAGGUUGGGUAACACUAACUGGAGGACCGAACCGACUAAUGUUGAAAAAUUAGCGGAUGACUUGUGGCUGGGGGUGAAAGGCCAAUCAAACCGGGAGAUAGCUGGUUCUCCCCGAAAGCUAUUUAGGUAGCGCCUCGUGAAUUCAUCUCCGGGGGUAGAGCACUGUUUCGGCAAGGGGGUCAUCCCGACUUACCAACCCGAUGCAAACUGCGAAUACCGGAGAAUGUUAUCACGGGAGACACACGGCGGGUGCUAACGUCCGUCGUGAAGAGGGAAACAACCCAGACCGCCAGCUAAGGUCCCAAAGUCAUGGUUAAGUGGGAAACGAUGUGGGAAGGCCCAGACAGCCAGGAUGUUGGCUUAGAAGCAGCCAUCAUUUAAAGAAAGCGUAAUAGCUCACUGGUCGAGUCGGCCUGCGCGGAAGAUGUAACGGGGCUAAACCAUGCACCGAAGCUGCGGCAGCGACGCUUAUGCGUUGUUGGGUAGGGGAGCGUUCUGUAAGCCUGCGAAGGUGUGCUGUGAGGCAUGCUGGAGGUAUCAGAAGUGCGAAUGCUGACAUAAGUAACGAUAAAGCGGGUGAAAAGCCCGCUCGCCGGAAGACCAAGGGUUCCUGUCCAACGUUAAUCGGGGCAGGGUGAGUCGACCCCUAAGGCGAGGCCGAAAGGCGUAGUCGAUGGGAAACAGGUUAAUAUUCCUGUACUUGGUGUUACUGCGAAGGGGGGACGGAGAAGGCUAUGUUGGCCGGGCGACGG
rnacentral:rRNA from 1 species